AAUGGGUCAGCGACUUAUAUUCUGUAGCAAGGUUAACCGAAUAGGGGAGCCGAAGGGAAACCGAGUCUUAACUGGGCGUUAAGUUGCAGGGUAUAGACCCGAAACCCGGUGAUCUAGCCAUGGGCAGGUUGAAGGUUGGGUAACACUAACUGGAGGACCGAACCGACUAAUGUUGAAAAAUUAGCGGAUGACUUGUGGCUGGGGGUGAAAGGCCAAUCAAACCGGGAGAUAGCUGGUUCUCCCCGAAAGCUAUUUAGGUAGCGCCUCGUGAAUUCAUCUCCGGGGGUAGAGCACUGUUUCGGCAAGGGGGUCAUCCCGACUUACCAACCCGAUGCAAACUGCGAAUACCGGAGAAUGUUAUCACGGGAGACACACGGCGGGUGCUAACGUCCGUCGUGAAGAGGGAAACAACCCAGACCGCCAGCUAAGGUCCCAAAGUCAUGGUUAAGUGGGAAACGAUGUGGGAAGGCCCAGACAGCCAGGAUGUUGGCUUAGAAGCAGCCAUCAUUUAAAGAAAGCGUAAUAGCUCACUGGUCGAGUCGGCCUGCGCGGAAGAUGUAACGGGGCUAAACCAUGCACCGAAGCUGCGGCAGCGACACUAUGUGUUGUUGGGUAGGGGAGCGUUCUGUAAGCCUGUGAAGGUGUACUGUGAGGUAUGCUGGAGGUAUCAGAAGUGCGAAUGCUGACAUAAGUAACGAUAAAGCGGGUGAAAAGCCCGCUCGCCGGAAGACCAAGGGUUCCUGUCCAACGUUAAUCGGGGCAGGGUGAGUCGACCCCUAAGGCGAGGCCGAAAGGCGUAGUCGAUGGGAAACAGGUUAAUAUUCCUGUACUUGGUGUUACUGCGAAGGGGGGACGGAGAAGGCUAUGUUGGCCGGGCGACGGUUGUCCCGGUUUAAGCGUGUAGGCUGGUUUUCCAGGCAAAUCCGGAAAAUCAAGGCUGAGGCGUGAUGACGAGGCACUACGGUGCUGAAGCAACAAAUGCCCUGCUUCCAGGAAAAGCCUCUAAGCAUCAGGUAACAUCAAAUCGUACCCCAAACCGACACAGGUGGUCAGGUAGAGAAUACCAAGGCGCUUGAGAGAACUCGGGUGAAGGAACUAGGCAAAAUGGUGCCGUAACUUCGGGAGAAGGCACGCUGAUAUGUAGGUGAAGCGACUUGCUCGUGGAGCUGAAAUCAGUCGAAGAUACCAGCUGGCUGCAACUGUUUAUUAAAAACACAGCACUGUGCAAACACGAAAGUGGACGUAUACGGUGUGACGCCUGCCCGGUGCCGGAAGGUUAAUUGAUGGGGUUAGCGGUAACGCGAAGCUCUU
rnacentral:rRNA from 1 species